UACGUAGGGUGCGAGCGUUGUCCGGAAUUAUUGGGCGUAAAGAGCUCGUAGGCGGUGUGUCACGUCGGCCGUGAAAACCUGCAGCUUAACUGUGGGCGUGCGGUCGAUACGGGCAUCACUGGAGUUCGGCAGGGGAGACUGGAAUUCCUGGUGUAGCGGUGAAAUGCGCAGAUAUCAGGAGGAACACCGGUGGCGAAGGCGGGUCUCUGGGCCGAUCCUGACGCUGAGGAGCGAAAGCGUGGGGAGCAAACAGG
rnacentral:rRNA from 1 species